GCUCCGGUCGCCUAGUGGUUAGAGCGUCCGCCUCAGAUGCGGGUGGUCGAAGGUUUAAACCCCGGCCGAGGCA